rnacentral:rRNA from 1 species
UGAACGCUGGCGUCGUGCCUAAUACAUGCAAGUCGAGCGAACAGACGAGGAGCUUGCUCCUCUGACGUUAGCGGCGGACGGGUGAGUAACACAUGGAUAACCUACCUAUAAGACUGGGAUAACUUCGGGAAACCGGAGCUAAUACCGGAUAAUAUAUUGAACCGCAUGGUUCAAUAGUGAAAGACGGUUUUGCUGUCACUUAUAGAUGGAUCCGCGCCGCAUUAGCUAGUUGGUAAGGUAACGGCUUACCAAGGCAACGAUGCGUAGCCGACCUGAGAGGGUGAUCGGCCACACUGGAACUGAGACACGGUCCAGACUCCUACGGGAGGCAGCAGUAGGGAAUCUUCCGCAAUGGGCGAAAGCCUGACGGAGCAACGCCGCGUGAGUGAUGAAGGUCUUCGGAUCGUAAAACUCUGUUAUUAGGGAAGAACAAAUGUGUAAGUAACUAUGCACGUCUUGACGGUACCUAAUCAGAAAGCCACGGCUAACUACGUG